UGGCAUAUAGUAUAAGGGUUUAGUACGAUUGACUGUUAAUCAAUGAAUCAAGGUUCGAGUCCUUGUAUGCCAGC
rnacentral:tRNA from 1 species